CCUACGGGAGGCAGCAGUGGGGAAUAUUGGGCAAUGGGCGCAAGCCUGACCCAGCAACGCCGCGUGAAGGAAGAAGGCUUUCGGGUUGUAAACUUCUUUUCUCAGGGACGAAGAAAGUGACGGUACCUGAGGAAUAAGCCACGGCUAACUACGUGCCAGCAGCCGCGGUAAUACGUAGGUGGCCAGCGUUAUUCGGACUUAUUGGGUGGAAAGGGCGUGUAGGCGGGAGCGCAAGUCAGAUGUGAAAACUCAGGUCUCAACCCUGAGCCUGCAUUUGAAACUGGGGUUCUUGAGUGCUGGGGAGGCAAUCGGAAUUCCGUGUGUAGCGGUGAAAUGCGUAGAUAUACGGAGGAACACCAGUGGCGAAGGCGGAUUGCUGGACAGUAACUGACGCUGAGGCGCGAAAGCGUGGGGAGCAAACAGGAUUAGAUACCCGUGUAGUC
rnacentral:rRNA from 1 species